GACGAACGCUGACGGCGUGCUUAACACAUGCAAGUCGAACGGAAAGGCCCUGCUUUUGUGGGGUGCUCGAGUGGCGAACGGGUGAGUAACACGUGAGUAACCUGCCCUUGACUUUGGGAUAACUUCAGGAAACUGGGGCUAAUACCGGAUAGGAGCUCCUGCUGCAUGGUGGGGGUUGGAAAGUUUCGGCUGUUGGGGAUGGACUCGCGGCUUAUCAGCUUGUUGGUGGGGUAGUGGCUUACCAAGGCUUUGACGGGUAGCCGGCCUGAGAGGGUGACCGGCCACAUUGGGACUGAGAGACGGCCCAGACGCCUACGGGAGGCAACAGUGGGGAAUAUUGCACAAUGGGCGGAAGCCUGAUGCAGCAACGCCGCGUGCGGGAUGACGGCCUUCGGGUUGUAAACCGCUUUCGCCUGUGACGAAGCGUGAGUGACGGUAAUGGGUAAAGAAGCACCGGCUAACUACGUG
rnacentral:rRNA from 1 species